GCUGGGAUAGCUCAAGUUUGUAGAGCAUGAGAUUCUUAAUAUCCGGGUUGUGGGUUCAAGCACCCCAUCUUGGGCA